GACGAACGCUGGCGGCGUGCCUAACACAUGCAAGUCGAGCGGAAAGGCCCUUUCGGGGGUACUCGAGCGGCGAACGGGUGAGUAACACGUGAGUAAUCUGCCCCUGGCUUUGGGAUAGCCACCGGAAACGGUGAUUAAUACCGGAUACGACCACUUCUCGCAUGGGAUGGUGGUGGAAAGUUUUUCGGCCAGGGAUGUGCUCGCGGCCUAUCAGCUUGAUGGUGAGGUAAUGGCUCACCAUGGCUUCGACGGGUAGCCGGCCUGAGAGGGUGACCGGUCACACUGGGACUGAGACACGGCCCAGACUCCUACGGGAGGCAGCAGUGGGGAAUAUUGGGCAAUGGGCGGAAGCCUGAUCCAGCAACGCCGCGUGAGGGAUGACGGCCUUCGGGUUGUAAACCUCUUUCAGCAGGGACGAAGCGCAAGUGACGGUACCUGCAGAAGAAGCACCGGCCAACUACGUGCCAGCCGCCGCGGUAA
rnacentral:rRNA from 1 species